rnacentral:rRNA from 1 species
UGGGGAAUAUUGCACAAUGGGGGAAACCCUGAUGCAGCGACGCCGCGUGAGCGAAGAAGGUUUUCGAAUCGUAAAGCUCUGUCCUAUGAGAAGAUAAUGACGGUAUCAUAGGAGGAAGCCCCGGCUAAAUACGUGCCAGCAGCCGCGGUAAUACGUAUGGGGCGAGCGUUGUCCGGAAUUAUUGGGCGUAAAGGGUACGUAGGCGGUCUAUUAAGUCAGGUGUGAAAUCCCGGGGCUCAACCCCGGAACUGCCUUUGAUACUGGUAGUCUUGAGUUCGAGAGAGGUGAGUGGAAUUCCGAGUGUAGAGGUGAAAUUCGUAGAUAUUCGGAGGAACACCAGUGGCGAAGGCGGCUCACUGGCUCGAUACUGACGCUGAGGUGCGAAAGCGUGGGGAGCAAACAGG